UACAGAGGUCUCAAGCGUUGUUCGGAUUCAUUGGGCGUAAAGGGUGCGUAGGCGGCGGAGUAAGUUGGGUGUGAAAUCCCGGGGCUCAACCUCGGAAUUGCAUUCAAUACUGCUUCGCUAGAGUACUGGAGAGGAGGCUGGAAUUUACGGUGUAGCAGUGAAAUGCGUAGAUAUCGUAAGGAAGGCCGGUGGCGAAAGCGAGCCUCUGGACAGUUACUGACGCUGAUGCACGAAGGCCAGGGGAGCAAACGGG
rnacentral:rRNA from 1 species